rnacentral:rRNA from 1 species
AUUGAACGCUGGCGGCAGGCCUAACACAUGCAAGUCGAGCGGAGCGGCGGACGGGUGAGUAAUGCCUAGGAAUCUGCCUGGUAGUGGGGGUAACCUCCGGGAAAGGGCGCUUAUAACCCCAUCUAUCCGAUGGACCCAGGUCGGGUUAGCUAGGUGGUGGGGUAAAGGCCUACCAAGGCGACGAUCCGUAACUGGUCUGAGAGGAUGAUCAGUCACACUGGAACUGAGACACGGUCCAGACUCCUACGGGAGGCAGCAGUGGGGAAUAUUGGACAAUGGGCGAAAGCCUGAUCCAGCCAUGCCGCGUGUGUGAAGAAGGUCUUCGGAUUGUAAAGCACUUUAAGUUGGGAGGCGUUACCAACAGAAUAAGCACCGGCUAACUUCGUGCCAGCAGCCGCGGUAAUUC